CCUACGGGUGGCAGCAGUGGGGAAUAUUGGACAAUGGGGGCAACCCUGAUCCAGCCAUGCCGCGUGUGUGAAGAAGGCCCUCGGGUUGUAAAGCACUUUCAGUGAGGAAGAACGCCUGGUGGUUAAUACCCAUCAGGAAAGACAUCACUCACAGAAGAAGCACCGGCUAACUCCGUGCCAGCAGCCGCGGUAAUACGGAGGGUGCGAGCGUUAAUCGGAAUUACUGGGCGUAAAGCGCGCGUAGGUGGCUUGAUAAGCCGGUUGUGAAAGCCCCGGGCUCAACCUGGGAACGGCAUCCGGAACUGUCAAGCUAGAGUGCAGGAGAGGAAGGUAGAAGUCCCGGUGUAGCGGUGAAAUGCGUAGAGAUCGGGAGGAAUACCAGUGGCGAAGGCGGCCUUCUGGACUGACACUGACACUGAGGUGCGAAAGCGUGGGUAGCAAACAGGAUUAGAUACCCCAGUAGUC
rnacentral:rRNA from 1 species